rnacentral:rRNA from 1 species
AGCUCCAAUAGCGUAUAUUAAAGUUGUUGCAGUUAAAACGCUCGUAGUUCGAUUUCUGGAGGCAGUUUUCUGGGCUUCCCUGUUCGGGAGGCUCGUUGCUGUCUUCAUCCUUCUGUUAACUCAUCUCGGCAUUCAUUUGUUGGUUGAGGGCUCAGAUACUUUACCUUGAGGAAAUUAGAGUGUUUCAGGCAGGCUUUCGCUUGAAUACAUUAGCAUGGAAUAAUAGAAUAGGACUCCUACUCAUUGUUGGUUUAUGAUGGGAGUAAUGAUUAAUAGGGAUAGUUGGGGGCAUUAGUAUUUGAUUGUCAGAGGUGAAAUUCUUUAAUUUGUCAAAGACUAACUUAUGCGAAAGCAUUUGCCAAGAAUGUUUUCGUUA